rnacentral:rRNA from 1 species
AUUGAACGCUGGCGGCGUGCUUUACACAUGCAAGUCGGACGGCAGCAUGUCCUUCGGGAUGAUGGCGAGUGGCGAACGGGUGAGUAAUACAUCGAGGCGUGCCCAGAAGUUGGGGAUAACGCAUCGAAAGAUGUGCUAAUACCGAAUAAUCUCUGAGGAGGAAAGGCGGGGACCGUAAGGCCUGUCGCUAUUGGAGCGGUCGAUGGCCGAUUAGCUAGUUGGUGGGGUAAAUGCUUACCAAGGCGAUGAUCGGUAGCUGUUCUGAGAGGAAGAUCAGCCACACUGGGACUGAGACACGGGCCAGACUCCUACGGGAGGCAGCAGUGGGGAAUAUUGGACAAUGGGCGCAAGCCUGAUCCAGCCAUACCGCGUGGGUGAAGAAGGCCUUCGGGUUGUAAAGCCCUUUUGUUGGGAAAGAAAUCCAGCCGGCUAAUACCUGGUUGGGAUGACGGUACCCAAAGAAUAAGCACCGGCUAACUUCGUGCCAGCAGCCGCCGUAACAC